AACGAACGCUGGCGGCAGGCCUAACACAUGCAAGUCGAGCGCUCUCUUCGGAGGGAGCGGCGGACGGGUUAGUAACGCGUGGGAAUGUACCCUUCUCUAAGGAAUAGCCAUUGGAAACGAUGAGUAAUACCUUAUACGCCCCCGGGUACAAACUGGGGGGAAAGAUUUAUCGGAGAGGGGUCAGCCCGCGUAAGAUUAGAUAGUUGGUGGGGUAAUGGCCUACCAAGUCUACGAUCUUUAGCUGGUUUUAGAGGAUGAUCAGCAACACUGGGACUGAGACACGGCCCAGACUCCUACGGGAGGCAGCAGUGGGGAAUCUUGGACAAUGGGCGCAAGCCUGAUCCAGCCAUGCCGCGUGAGUGAUGAAGGCCUUAGGGUCGUAAAGCUCUUUCGCCAGAGAUGAUAAUGACAGUAUCUGGUAAAGAAGUCCCGGCUAACUCCGUG
rnacentral:rRNA from 1 species